rnacentral:rRNA from 1 species
UACAGGGGGGGCAAGCGUUGUUCGGAAUUACUGGGCGUAAAGGGCGCGUAGGCGGCCUGUUAAGUCGAACGUGAAAUCCCCGGGCUCAACCCGGGAACUGCGUCCGAUACUGGCAGGCUUGAAUCCGGGAGAGGGAUGCGGAAUUCCAGGUGUAGCGGUGAAAUGCGUAGAUAUCUGGAGGAACACCGGUGGCGAAGGCGGCAUCCUGGACCGGCAUUGACGCUGAGGCGCGAAAGCCAGGGGAGCAAACGGG